GGAGGAAAGUAGGGGAUCGCAAGACCUUGCGCUUUUUGAGCGGCCGAUGCCUGAUUAGCUAGUUGGUAAGGUAAUGGCUUACCAAGGCAACGAUCAGUAGCUGGUCUGAGAGGACGACCAGCCACACUGGGACUGAGACACGGCCCAGACUCCUACGGGAGGCAGCAGUGGGGAAUUUUGGACAGUGGGCGAAAGCCUGAUCCAGCCAUGCCGCGUGAGUGAAGAAGGCCUUCGGGUUGUAAAGCUCUUUCGGUCGGGAAGAAAUAGUUGUGGCUAAUAUCCACAAUGAAUGACGGUACCGACAUAAGAAGCACCGGCUAACUACGUGCCAGCAGCCGCGGUAAUACGUAGGGUGCAAGCGUUAAUCGGAAUUAUUGGGCGUAAAGGGUGCGCAGGCGGUUGUAUAAGUCAGAUGUGAAAUCCCUGGGCUUAACCUAGGAAUUGCGUUUGAAACUACAAAGCUAG
rnacentral:rRNA from 1 species